UGGGGAAUAUUGGACAAUGGGCGAAAGCCUGAUCCAGCCAUGCCGCGUGUGUGAAGAAGGUCUUCGGAUUGUAAAGCACUUUAAGUUGGGAGGAAGGGCAUUAACCUAAUACGUUAGUGUUUUGACGUUACCGACAGAAUAAGCACCGGCUAACUCUGUGCCAGCAGCCGCGGUAAUACAGAGGGUGCAAGCGUUAAUCGGAAUUACUGGGCGUAAAGCGCGCGUAGGUGGUUUGUUAAAUUGGAUGUGAAAGCCCCGGGCUCAACCUGGGAACUGCAUCCAAAACUGGCAAGCUAGAGUACGGUAGAGGGUGGUGGAAUUUCCUGUGUAGCGGUGAAAUGCGUAGAUAUAGGAAGGAACACCAGUGGCGAAGGCGACCACCUGGACUGAUACUGACACUGAGGUGCGAAAGCGUGGGGAGCAAACA
rnacentral:rRNA from 1 species